GUUUGAACACAUCUGUAGCCUCUCUACAUGGACGCACCAUUGAGCACCAAUAAUGAACGGAAUGACGAAGACAGUGCAUCAUCUCUAAGACAUCGCCUUCUUCUUCGGCUACUAAAUCAACUGUCAAGAUGGCCGCCUGUGUGCACGCUCUCCUCCUGGUCCUCUUGUUUGUAGCGCUCACCCACGGGAAAGCCGUGAAACCAGCUAAGCCAGUAACGGUCGACCCCAGCUGUAAGAUAGUGUGUCCAGCUAUCCACAACACCGUGUGUGGCAGCGACCACAACACCUACGCCAACCUGUGCGAGUUGAGCAACGCUAGGUGUGACAACCCCCGGCUCAGGAUGGUUCGUCAGGGCAAGUGUAGGCCCAAGAAAACUGGAACGAAAAAGAAUGGGCCCAAAGUUUGAUGGAUGUGCAGAUGUUGCUGGUGAUGUUGUGUAGUAUCAUCCUGCUGUUGUUUAUCAACCCCAUGAUGUUAUAUUCAGCUUUGUUACAGUAAGACUUUGGCUGGAAAUGAAUUUUAAUGUUCCCGUUUUUUAACUAAGUUGUUUUACAUUAUUAACUUUAAAAUGAAUCAUUUAAACAUUAACAUAUUUUAAAACGUUAAAAGCUUAACAUGCAUAACAAUGUAAGUCAUGAUAUGAAAAAUAGUCCAUCAUUUGUAUUUUUAAAUGUAAAUUUCAGCCUGCAAUAAAUUUACGC